ensembl:lncRNA
AUGUCUUUACCAGGCUGGUUCCAGGAGUUAUCAGGCCAGAAAGAGUGUAAUCCCUGUCCUCCUGGGUUCCACUGCCUGAGUCACAGCCCCACCAGGGGGAGCUCCACCGGAGUGUCCAGCCCGCUGCUCUGCCCGGCUGGCUACUUCUGUCCCAGAGAGAGUCCAGACAGUCGUCCUCUCCCCUGCCCCAAAGGCACCUACAGCCCCAACCAGGGUCUCACGACCACAGGUGAGUGCCUAGUGUGUCCAGCCGGUGAGUUCUGUGGGUCCGAAGGAUCGGUUGAGCCGUCGGGGUUGUGUGCCUCUGGGUUUCUCUGUCUGAUGGGAGCCACGGUGCCCAACCCGACGGACAACAGCACUGGAUCUCUCUGUCCACCGGGGAUUUUCUGCCAAAAGGGGAAAAGAGCAGGUGAUUGCUGGGCAGGGUUUUAUUGCGGCUGGGGCUCUAGCAGAGCAGAUCAAGCUCUGUGCCCGGCUGGAUUCUUCUGCCCCAGUGGGACACCAGCCCCCAUGCAUUGCCCUGCAGGCACAUUUAGCUCUGACGAAGGGAACACACACCAGGACGACUGCACCACCUGUACCCCAGGAUCCUACUGUCAAAUUGAAGGUACUGUACAUCCUGCCCUCUGUCCCUUUGGAUACUACUGUCCUGCAGGACUGAUUUCAGGACUGGAGUUUCCUUGCCCACCUGGCACUGUGCAGAGCCAACUCGGAGCCUCCAGUCCUGAUGCCUGCCUGCCCUGCCCUGCAGGGAUGUUCUGCUCUCAGCCUGGUCGGUCCCAGCCCGCAGGACUCUGCGAAGCAGGAUACUACUGUCCUGCUGGAUCAAGCAGCCCAAACUCAACUGACCAUCAGGGGAAUUCUACUAGAAGCCAUCUCUGCCCUUCUGGCCACUACUGCCCCUCUGGCACUGGCUAUCCUCUCCCCUGCCCCACAGGCUCUCUCUCCAUCUCCCGAGGACUGAAGGAAGUUGGCGAGUGCCCACUCUGCCCCCCUGGACUGUUUUGUGACAAGCCUGCAAUAGUAAAGUUCUCUGAUGCGCUCCCAUGUCAUGCUGGGUAUGUGUGCCUGGGUGGCAGCAACAGUCCCGUCCCUUCAGAUGGUUCCCAUGGCUACUUGUGCCCUGCUGGCCAUAGCUGUCCUGUUGGCUCAACGAGGGAGUUGCCCUGUGAGCCUGGCACUUACAGUCUUGCCCCUGGAGCAGCCCACUGCACAACGUGCCCCCAGGGGACAAUGUGUUCCUCCUCAGCCACUCAAGAGCCCUCUAUCUGCCCAGCCGGUGAGCGUGAUGAAAAUAAUCCAUUGGUGGAAUAUGCUACAAUAAUAUUAAUGUACUAUAUUGAUAUUGAUAAUGUGUAUUUUUGUAGGUCAUUUUUGUCCCACCGGAACCGCCCUGCCUCAGCCCUGCCCUCCGGGGACUUUCAACAACCAGACAGGAGCCCACUCUCUCUCUUUAUGUACCCCCUGUUCCGCUGGAGUGUUCUGCAGCUCAUAUGGAGCAUCAGUGCCACAAGGUUCUUGUUUGCAGGGUUACUACUGCGAAGGUGGGGCCAUGGGACCUACACCACAGCGCUCUGA